GCUUUCUUCAUCUUGAAUAUUUAGUGUAGAUUGAAUUUUUCCUGGAUUUAAACUGAUUAUGUCUACACGAUAAAAUGAUGACGCCAUGAAAGAAUGUUUUUAAAAAUUAGGAAGAGGCAAAAUUUUAGCCAUGGGCCAUCAAAGCACGCUCAAGUUAGGAAAAGGUCACUCUGUUGCCGACUUAUAUUCAUUUUUUCCUAUAUUAUAUUCAUAUAUUCUUAUAUUCAUACUGCCAAUGAAACUCGGAUUCCACUGGUCUGAAAAUAAAGUAAGCAGGCAAAAGAGCCAGAUUGUCCACCUGGGGCCAUUUUAACCUAAUUUCGUAAUAAUUUCUUAUCCUCGAUUAUCCCUUCUUAAUCACGCAUACCGUUUAUGUAAUUACCAGAAAGCCAUUUAUUAACAAUUUGGCAAAAAUAAUUAUGAUUUGACGUAAGGGUGCCCUGGGGACUGGCGGGCAUAUAGUAGUGCACCCGCGAAUCCUCUUUUCUCCCCGAGGCCUUUAAUGGAUCUUGUGACAACACCACGUGCACGCUGGUGGCUGGAACAAGGAAAACACAAGUGGACAAUCGUAAAUACAAUUUGGGCUUUCACGUACAAUUAAAGAUCUGCUCUACAGGUGUGCAUGGCUUUUGAAUAAUUUUUAAAAUGUGUUUACAUCUUGCUCGGUGUUUUGUUUGACAGCUGCCAAGCGCGUUCAACAAUUUGCUCAAGCACUAAGAUUCUUCAAAGGCAGAGUUUGCUAAUGAAAUAUAGCGCGAACGGGUUCUGAUCGCCAGUGCCGAAGCUGUUUGUUGAGGAUCAAGAGCUGCCGAAUUCAAGUUAUAUUUCAGAUAAGUUAUUGAGUUGGCAAGUUGUAGAAUUCAAGGUUAUCUGCAGAUAUUUGCCACAAAGAAGAGUUACACGUUCAGUUAAAGAAAAGAUUGAAAAUUGUAACAGUUUGCUGUUAAAAGGCUGCAGGAAUCUGACGUAUUGGGAAGCGUUGAUAAUAUCGGAGUUAGCUUACAAGGGGUCUUUGCAAAAGCAUACACGUGGAGCGAGCGACGGGGCCACAAGCUGAAAUCACGUUGUUUAUGGUUUUAGUUUUUACCUUGAUAAAAAACGGAGCUGAUUAUAAAACCAUUGCUGGUGUAAUUAUCAAGGAGAGCGUACGUAGACAAAGGAGAUUGGCUGGAAUACAGAUUAUUACAAAGAGGUGCAACACGCGGGUGCAACGAAGCCGAGAGAUAUGUCGCAAAUUUGUUCUCCACUGUCGACGCAGAUUUGUGCACCUGUGCCGCAUUCAAAACUAAUUCAAACAAUAACUCGAUGUGCACAGAACGCUUGGUGCAAUCCGAAAUUCAGCAAUUAUGCUGCGAUGGACACAACAGACCGUCGAUUUUCUGUCUAUGAUCGUUUAAAAGACAAUGAUAAUAAUAACAACAAUAACAUCGAAUUUAAUCGUGAAAUUGAACAAGACGCUGGAGAUGAAAUGCAUGAGUCGCUUGCAGCCGUUCUCGACAGCGCGGAUUGCUUCAUUGAUGAAGAUGCGCUGUUAGAUUUAGCGUAUUCUUUAGGACUUGACAACGACAAAUUUGAGCUUCCUGACCUCUGUGUGGUGAGCGAAACAUCAGUUCUGUCGUGUCUAAGAUAGCUGGUUUGAGCAGAACGACUGCGAGAUAAGAGCAAAUGGCUAGCAUCCAUCAAGAGAAACUCGCAUGCCAAACAACUACACGUGCUUAAAUUACGCCAGAAGGUGAAUAUUUGGAUUGAAGAAUUGUUAAAAAUUGUUGGGAAUGCACAGUUUGAAAUGUAAUUUUCUUCCAAACAUGAAAUGAAGAGGAAGCGAAGGUCUCAUCAUUUCACUGUUAUUGUUAUGUCUAUAUGCGUUUAUAAAUUGCUAUUGGCUUAAAGGGAGCUAUUUCACUAAUGAUCAAGAAUCGGUGAAUCUUAUGCUGCGCAAAGUAAAUCGUCUGAGGGGCCCGGUCAACUUUAAAAAGUUGGCUCUCAUAAUGAGUAAAAGAUUUAGUUAGAUUUGUAUGCCGUUCUUCUCCAAGGAUUUGCCAUCUUCUCCGGAAUGAUGGUUUCGGGUUCAACUACAAUUUCUUCGUGUAUUUAAAUGAAUCAAAUCGUCUUUAAUGAUUCCUUCGUUAAAAUGAUGGUAUGCUUAAGAUUUUAGGAAAAUUGUCCCUGAAUAGACCAUAUUGGGUUUAAGAAGGACGCUACAACUAUUUGUAAGAAAAUUUAGGCCAAUUGACCCUUGCAACAAAAUGAUAUUUGUUCCAAGGAAUUUUGGCAAUUUUCUUUCUUUCGGGUGGCACGCAUUUUCAAAUAUCCAAUUAAACGCAAUUAUGUUUUUGGAACAAUGCGUGCAUAAAAGCACAAUUUGCAGAUUGCCGAUGUUUGUAGCGUAUCCAAAAAAUUCAUAUCGUUAUCGUUUCCAAAUCAAAAUGGUGGUAAUAAGUUGCUUUUGUCUCAGUUAAAAGCGCAAGAUUAUUUUACUUACGUUGGACAAAUAUCAGGGGCUGCCUACUUUUGGUUCAUUCAAAAUGAAAUUGAAUCAAAUUGCUGUUGUGUUUUAAUGUCUUCAAUUUUUUACUUUUGGCAAUUAUUACUGUUAACACUGUAUAUAAUUUAAUCAAUCAAACGGUAUAUCGACUUCUUAUUCAAAGUACGUUUAUUUAACACAACCUUCACUCUUCAAAAAUGUACCUGAUUUCCGGAAUAAAGUAUUUCUAGAAAUUUCGCAGAAAAAAUAGACUUCAGCUACUAGAUUUCAAACAUGUAGCUACUAGAUUUCAAACAUGUAGUAGCUACUAGAUUUCCAUGGAGUGACAUGGCCCUCGUGAUAAAAAAAGGAACCGGUCCGGUCAAGAAAAUGUGGUACUUUUUGUGUUGCAUGUAGUGUCGUUUGAUUUCCACUAAGGUGUUGGAGCAAACCGGGCAACGCCCUCUAUUUUUAGUCAUAACGUACAGUUGUAUCUCGUUAAUUUGUUUCCCCGAAAACUCGGAUGAUGUUAAGGUUGCAUUUUCCUACUUUAUACAAGUAAAAAAUUGUACCCAGGGUUAGUCGGACAUUCACUAAGUCGGACUUAUUUCCUUGUCUUAACGUGAUUAAACUGUAACUUUGAAAUAAUAUUAGGUCCAAGAGACGUGCAUCGUAAGUUGUCUAACCUUUUGCUUGCGAAAUUCUUGUAGUUAUUGAUAAUUUAUAUCCAAACUCGAAGUUGCAUUUGUUCAAAAUGAGCAGUAAAUUUUCGACUUUGUAACUAAAGGUACGCAAUAUAUAUUAUUGUUAAUACAAAAUUGAAUUGAAAAAGAAA